CCUACGGGAGGCAGCAGUGAGGAAUAUUGGUCAAUGGACGCAAGUCUGAACCAGCCAUGCCGCGUGCAGGAAGACGGCUCUAUGAGUUGUAAACUGCUUUUGUACGAGGGUAAACGCAGAUACGCGUAUCUUUCUGAACGUAUCGUACGAAUAAGGAUCGGCUGACUCCGUGCCAGCAGCCGCGGUAAUACGGAGGAUUCAAGCGUUAUCCGGAUUUAUUGGGUUUAAAGGGUGCGUAGGCGGUCGGAUAAGUUAGAGGUGAAAUCCCGAGGCUCAACUUCGGAAUUGCCUCUGAUACUGUUCGGCUAGAGAGUAGUUGCGGUAGGCGGAAUGUAUGGUGUAGCGGUGAAAUGCUUAGAGAUCAUACAGAACACCGAUUGCGAAGGCAGCUUACCAAGCUACGUCUGACGUUGAGGCACGAAAGCGUGGGGAGCAAACAGGAUUAGAUACCCCAGUAGUC
rnacentral:rRNA from 1 species